AAUUUCUGUUUUCUGUCAUAAUUAUCACGGUCCCUCUCGUGACAGAGAUGCGAAGAUCGGAUAGACUUGCUGCACGUUAGGCUAUCUGACAGGUCUCUCUGUUUUCCUCUUUGUAUGUUGUUGUUUGGCAGGAUCUCACCU